GGGCAGGUGAGUCGAGCGGCCGAAACUCCCGGGACUCCGGGGUAAUGCGGCGAGGCGACCUAGGCGCUGUCGACCCGUACCGCGGGUUCAAAUCCCGCCCUGCCCG
rnacentral:tRNA from 1 species